AAGUACAGAUAACUAUCAGGGUAUGAAAAGGCAAGAAAACAUGACAAAAUGAAAGGAUUAUUGAUGGGCAAUAAAGGAAGCGUAGUAGGUUUACCUUGAGAUUUCACUGAGCUAAUAUACUGGCUCCCAUUUCUAUGUUUAUUGUAGGAAAAAGAGAAAAACACUAAUCCAGGGAUAGAGCUGACUAGGGAUGCCCAAGUCAAAAAGACUUUGUAGCACUGGGCUUGGCAGAGGGUCCUGAAGCUAAAUGCAGAAAACUGCGGGAAAUGUCUUCAACUGGGGCUAAAGGUCGUAAGCAAGGACAAUGAACCUGGAAUUUGGAGGAAUUCAUACUCCAGUGAAGAAUUUCCAGACCCCUCAUGAAAAUAGCAGAUUGCCUACUCACCAGAGAAUACUCAAGCUGAAACUAAGCAGCCCCUGGAGGGCUUAGAGGUUCUUCGUCACAAGUUGCCAAAAUGAAACAGAACUGUGAAAAGAAAAUGGAGAUGCUUCUUCAGGAGGUGCCCGUGAUGUGAUUUACUUGAUGAUUAUGGCCUGCAGGGUAUUGAGAUGGGAUUAUGUAACUUAAAUAAACUGGAUAUGAGUAGAGAUCUGAAA
ensembl:lncRNA LINC01603 long intergenic non-protein coding RNA 1603